rnacentral:sRNA from 1 species
GAGAUGGUUUAAAGCUUGAAACUGAAUUACUGGAUGGAAAAACCAAGCUAAUAUUGUCUCCAUAUGAACAUAAAUCAAAAAUUUCUGUGAAGAGAGAAUGAAUGGAAACCAGCUGAUAUAUUCAGUACUCUGGGGGAAAGGGAACGUGAUAGAAGUUCGUCGGAAGCAAAAAAAGCCCAGUGGAGGAAAGAGCUAGGAAACAGUACUGCUGGAGCACCCUUUCAGUGCUGUGAAACAAGAACUGCAGAGAAAAUGGAUUGAAGAGUUGAAUAAGCAAAUAGAAGAUGACCGUCAAAGAAAAAUAGAGGAAAAAAUUAUAUAUUCAAAGGGUGAGGAACAUGACAGAUGGGCAAUGCACUUUGAUUCAUUAAAGAGUUAUCCUGGUUCUCAAUCCCAGCUGUUCUCUUGGUCAACACACAAACAACCUGAGUACUUCUGUGUCUCUCCUGACACUCAGGAGCUGGCUGAUGUCAGCAGUGUUUGUACACCUACAACCGGAAGCCAGGUUGAACCUUCAGAGGAGGAGCAUAUAGCAAAACCUAUUAAGGAUGUGGUUAUGGCAAACAGUAAGAAAACAAACUUUCUCCGUUCUAUGACUGCUCUCUUGGACCCAGCUCAGAUUGAGGAACGAGACAGACGACGACAAAAACAAUUAGAGCAUCAGAAAGCCAUCACUGCCCAGGUAGAAGAGAAGCGCAGGAAGAAACAACUGGAGGAAGAGCAAAGAAAGAAGGAAGAACAAGAAGAGGAGCUUCGCUUAGCACAGGAACGUGAAGAGAUGCAGAAACAGUAUGAAGAAGACAUACUUAAGCAAAAACAAAAGGAAGAAAUCAUGACUCUCAAGACAAAUGA